GACCAAGAGAUUUAGUUAUAUGAAUAGGUAAAAAGAUAGUUAAGUAUUGCAAGAGUUUAAUGAUCUUUUGUAGAAAAGUAAAAUUUGGAUAUAAAGGACUAAUUUUUUAUAAACUAACUAUACUGAAGCUAUGAUAAUUUUGAGGGAAACUGGGAUUAGAUACCCCAUUAUUCAUAAAUUGUAAAUUAAUGUGAAUUUACCAGAGUAGUAUGAAUAUAAAAAUUUAAAACUCAAAGGGCUUGGCGGUGUUUUAGACCAAUUAGGGGAACCUGUCUCGUAAUCGACAAUCCGCGUUAUACCUAACCUUUUUUGGUAAACAGUUUGUAUACCGUCGUCGUCAGGUAACUUUUAAAAAUAAAGAAGUUAGCAUUAAUAAUAAUUGUUGAUUAAGACGUCAGAUCAAGGUGCAGCUUAUAAAAAGGAGAGGAUGGGUUACAAUUAUAAAAUAAUAAUUACGGAUAAUUUAAUGGAAAAAGUUUUAAGGAGGACUUAAAAGUAAUGUUGUAAUAUAUAAAUAAUUUGAAUUAGGCUCUGAAACGUGC
rnacentral:rRNA from 1 species